GAGUUUGAUCAUGGCUCAGGACGAACGCCGGCGGUGUGCCUAAUACAUGCAAGUCGUACGCACUGGCCCAACUGAUUGAUGGUGCUUGCACCUGAUCGACGAUGGAUCACCAGUGAGUGGCGGACGGGUGAGUAACACGUAGGUAACCUGCCCUGUACAGGGGGAUAACAAUCAGAAAUGACUGCUAAUACCGCAUAAGACCACAGCACCGCAUGGUGCAGGGGUAAAAACUCCGGUGGUACAGGAUGGACCCGCGUCUGAUUAGCUGGUUGGUGAGGUAACGGCUCACCAAGGCGACGAUCAGUAGCCGGCUUGAGAGAGUGAACGGCCACAUUGGGACUGAGACACGGCCCAAACUCCUACGGGAGGCAGCAGUGGGAAUAUUGCACAAUGGGGAAACCCGUGAUGCAGCAACGCCGCGUGAGUGAAGAGUAUUUCGGUAUGUAAAGCUCUAUCAGCGAGGGAA
rnacentral:rRNA from 1 species